UACGUAGGGUGCAAGCGUUAAUCGGAAUUACUGGGCGUAAAGCGUGCGCAGGCGGUUCUACAAGACAGAUGUGAAAUCCCCGGGCUCAACCUGGGAACUGCAUUUGUGACUGUAGGGCUAGAGUACGGCAGAGGGGGAUGGAAUUCCGCGUGUAGCAGUGAAAUGCGUAGAUAUGCGGAGGAACACCGAUGGCGAAGGCAAUUCCCUGGGCCUGUACUGACGCUCAUGCACGAAAGCGUGGGGAGCAAACAGG
rnacentral:rRNA from 1 species